rnacentral:lncRNA from 1 species
CUUGUAGAGAAGAGGCCCUGACGCUAAACACAACAUCUGUGCUCAUCCAGCCACACUUAUUUUACAUGUUCCUUCGUCUCCUUUGAUUUGCCUAUUGGACUAUCCUUGCCUGAUGUAUCCUUAGAUUUGCCCCCAAGACACUGGGUUUGGUUUGUCCUGGUUUGAACUUGGUGUCUCUGGCUAUUGACUCAUGUUCUGACCUCCACCCAGCCCCAUUUCUGCUCUUCAGAACCAGGCUUUGGCACCUCCAAGGACCUGACCUCAGCUCAACCUGCCUCUGGCCCUGUUUCUCCUGCCUGACACCGACAAUUGGAAGGAACCCGGUUCUUCUGCAAGGAGCUCCAUAGAGCUGAGUGGUUUACCUGAAAUAAAGCUUGCAUUAUGGGAGAGACAAACAGGGAUGGAUGGCUUUUAAAAAAUCCACAGGCCCAGAGGCAGGGCCAGAAUUACAAAAUCACCAAAUUUUGACAUCUGCCUCUUCAAUCGGUUCCAGGAAUGAAAUAAGUCCAGAGUGGGUGUUUGGCCAAGCUGGGAACCAGAAAUCACAGGAAUGAAGCUUGGAGAUCAUGACUAGAGAAAUAAUAGAAACCGUGAAGUCUAAUCACCAGUGUGAGGACAAAAAUGGAAGAAGGAGCAGCAAAGUGGAGAAGCUGCAAAAGAUGUAAGUAGAAUCAGGGGCAAGAUGAAGGUCAAGGGGAGUGAUUCAGAACCCAGUCUGUGAACACUGUGUUAGUUCUGAACAAACAAAAACCUAGUGUGUGUCAUUAGCGUCCAUGAGAGCUUCAGUGGGCUCUCCAGGGCUGGACAACUUGUUAACACCAAGUCUAAAGAGGCUGGAGCCAGGCUGGGUGCACGCAACUCAGAAACUGCGGAGAGUGCCUUGAGUUAUGGUCAGUCUUGUUUUCUUUAAUAGACUACAGGUACAUCUGUUUCUUGACUCUGCCUUGGAAUUAUUUGUCAUUCUGAUGAUUCCUUCAUGAAGCAGCUAAAU